rnacentral:tRNA from 1 species
AGGUAAGAUGGCUGAUAAAAGCAUUAGACUGUAAAUCUAAAUAUAAAGGUCAGACUCCUUUUCUUAUCA